rnacentral:misc_RNA from 1 species
GAUGAAGAACAUAGCGAAAUGCGAUAAGUAAUGUGAAUUGCAGAAUCCAGUGAAUCAUCGAAUCUUUGAACGCACAUUGCGCCCGCCAGCAUUCUGGCGGGCAUGCCUGUUCGAGCGUCAUUUCAACCCUCGACCUCCCUUUGGGGAAGUCGGCGUUGGGGACCGGCAGCACACCGCCGGCCCUGAAAUGGAGUGGCGGCCCGUCCGCGGCGACCUCUGCGUAGUAAACCAACUCGCACCGGAACCCCGACGUGGCCACGCCGUAAAACACCCAACUUCUGAACGUUGACCUCGAAUCAGGUAGGACUACCCGCUGAACUUAAGCAUAUCAAUAAGCGGAGGA